GGCGAGCUCGGAGGGAGCCUGCGAAGCCUUCUUUAUUCCCCUGCCUUAGCUAGCGGGGAGCCCGUUCAGAGCGCGUGAAUGAGUGCUGGGACUUUGUGAAUGAAGAGAUGCUGGGAGGCUUGAAUUCCAAGUGAGUAAGAAAGAAAAUGGGCAUCUUUUGUGACCAUAUGAUCAAUUAGAGGGCAGGAACAGUCCAUACAGAACAAACCAGUUGCAGAUUUGGGUGGAUGCUGCCACAGUUCCAUGAGCACGCCUCACAAGUUAAGAGGUUUAUCAUAAUGGGUAUUCAGAAAAGGCCUGAUGCCAAAGGGAACACUUCUUUGUCCCUGUGUGGCUUCAGGCUGCAUCUCCCAAUCACGUGCCGGUGGAUCCAGAAAAUCAACAAACAGGAUGGCGAGAACAAGGGCAGCUUUCAGCAGGGCUCAAAAAAGGCUGUCUGGGCUUUGUGGCUUCUCCAGUAGGUUCUAAUGAGUGCGCUUUGCGAAGUUUUACUUGGCCCGUUGUUCUCUGAUUCUCUUCCUCUUCUGGCCUGGCUGCUGGAAAAAUUUGUAAGCAGUCAUUGAUGUCUUUGAGUUGGAUGUGACUGAAUUAGACUGCGAAGCUUAGCAUUUUGAAAGGGUUUUUUGUUUUGUUUUGUUUUGUUUUUGUUUUUGUUUUUCCUGACAAAACUGGAGGUUGACACUGUUUUGAAAUGACACAUUUUGGGAGUCAGUCAGGAUUCAUAAUUUACAUCAACUUCUUUUAGAGCACAUGAGUGUAUGAAAGAAGUUUCUUAAAAAAACAAUUUUAAUUUAAAGAAGUCAGUAAAUAAAAAAAAAAAAACCCUACAUAUUAUGGUGGGAAUGAAGCAGGGAAACAAUUCUUUUGCCUACUAAUAUAUUUAUUAAUCGGUAUUUAUGGGGUUCCUACCAUGUGCCUAGUAAGCAAGAGAGCCACUUGUAGGCAGAGAUAACAAAGUCUGCAGCUUCUGGAGAGGAGCUGGCGCCGAACCAAGCACGUUGGCUUCCAGGUGUUCCCAGGAAUUCAUGGGAACCUGUACACACAGUUGCCGGUUCUUUAAAAACACUGAAAUAGCUCAUUUGAAGAUAUUUCAUUUCUGCGUCUUUAAAGUUUAUUAUAUUGCUUUUCUUCCAAUGCUGGGGAUUUUAUCCAGGGCCAUAGGCAUGCUAGGCAAGCAUUAUGCAACUGAGCCACACCCCAACUUCAACAUUUUGAUAUACUUAGCUCGUUUGAUUACUUUUCAAGGCAACAUAUUAAAAUUUAUAUGUGGGUGUUAUUAUUGCCUUAAUUUUAUAGAUGACAAAACCAAGACUCAGAGAAUGAAACCCAACUAAGACCUGAAUAAAACACCCAGUUCUGGCACUUCCAAAGACAUUAUUUUUUUUAUUUAAUACCUUUGUUGCAGUUUAUAGCAAAAGGAUUCUUAUCACACAACUUUUUAGCUGCUUAAAAAAAAGGAAUUCUCAAGUAAUCUAACUUCAGUGAGGACAAUCGCAUUUUGAGUUUUACUGGCUGGGAGUAACACAAUAUUUGAACUUCCACGAGGUGUCGCCAUUUGCUAUUCUUUUUUCCUAUGCUUUAGAAAAGAGCCCAGGUGGUGCUGGCUCCUGGAAGCCAUUAUUGCAAUGGAAUGGAGUGCAGAGCCAAAAAGCAGCAAAUGAGGUUGCUUCUUGAUUCCGGGAGAAGGAAUUUGAAAGUGCGCUGAGGCCUCUGCCCCGCCCUCAAUUUCCUAACAUCCGAAAGCAUUCACUUCCUAUUUUCCCUUGUGAUUUCAUCGGCUCAUUUCUGAUGGAUGAGGCAGGCAGACUUGCAACUUGGCUUUUGGCCAAGACUGCUUAGAAAAUGAGGACCUUGCGAAGUAGAGAGGGGCCAUAGGAUCAUCAAACUUUCUCUUUGACCAACAGAAGAAGCCAACGGCAGACACUGUGAUAAUAAAGCCUGAAGACCAUGAAGUUGUAUAAAAAUAGUUAAGCAAUAUGACUGAUGAAAUAAGAGAUAGCUUGAAAGAAAGGAUCACAGUGUUUGAUACCAACUUCACACUUUUCUGAAAGGUGCAACUGAGAUUUGGACUAAAAUAGAGUAUGGUUCUGAGGAAGGGCUGAAAAUAGCUCCCAACUCCAAGUUCCUAUAUAUACAUCUGUGUAUUUGUGUCUUUAGGUAUCCUGUUGGAUCUAUCUGACCUUCCAUAAGAAAACAGAAAACUUAGAACAAAAACCACAAACCCCAUCUGUGCCCUAAGGAGUGUGUGUUCUAUGGACUCUAGACCUCGGCUGGAGAAGGCCCAUCCAUGCAGUCUUUGCCAAAUACAGGGUAGACAAGGAAGCCAUAGGCUUCUCUUUUAGUUAUGAUUAUAAAACUUAUGAAUAAUGGAUUAGAAAUACAAGAAACCAAUUAUCCAGGACUUGGUGUUAUACAAACAAGAUAAUUUUAAGGUUUUCAAAAUGUGUAGAGUGGGCAGGAAUAAUUUACCCAGGACUAGAAACCACUUCCCUCUGGGCCUGGUUUUUAUCUGGGAGUGUGAGAUGGGAACAUGAAGCUGGAACAGUUGGGGCCUUUUUUGGUGUCAAGUUAUCUUCUGAGGUAUAUGUACCUUCUAUAUACUCAUGAGUUCAGGCCUGGAGCCAUCAGCCUAUGGUGUGCUUGUUGAUUAUUUUUAUCUCCUAGUCAUAGGAACUCUUUUUCUUUUUCUUUUUUUUUUCUUCUUUGAGACAAGGUGUCUUUCUUGAAACCCACUAAUAUGGAUCAGGGUGGCCAUGAAAGCCUACCUCUGCAGGAUUGAGGGUGUGUACAACCAUGCCUUGCCAGUCAUAUGCACGUUAAAUAAGUAACUAAAAAUUAUGUCUAGGUUAUAUAUCUAUGAGUUGAGUUCAUUUGCAGUUUGAUACUGAAUAAAUGUCCUUAGAUUAGUCUGUCACUUGAAAAUGAAUCCUGGAAAUCUUUAUUGUUGCAAAUUGAAAAGUCAUAUAAGCAAAAUAUAUUCUCAAGAAAAACAUGGUUUGGUACAUAAGCAAUGUCAAAUUAAAUCAAUGAUAUUGUCUAUGAUUUGGGUUCUAUUAUGUACAUGAUUUGACAAUGUAUUUGCUUCGCUUUAAAAAUUUAUCUUCUAGUCAUUUUUACUAAAGUUGCUAUAAAAAUCACCUCAGUGCUAGAAUAUGGCAUAUAUCUGGCAUUCCAGUACUUGGGAAGUAGAGGGAAGAGGAUCAGGAGUUCAGGGCUAUUUUUAGAGAGAAUUUGACGCUGGCCUAUGCUACACAAAACCCUGACUUACUCCUCCCAGAAAUGAACUAUUCUGUGGAACUUUUGAAAAUAAAAUCCCAAGUGGCUUAAGUUUGAUCUGAAUUAUAUUUAUUCACAGAAUGAAAGAAAGUGGUUUCUCUGUAACCUAUUUUAAGUUUACUCAUAAAGAUACCAGUAAAAAUUCAUCUAUAUCACACUGCAGCUUUCUGAGGUGUUUGUAAUGAUUUUUUUAUUGUAAUUGAAUCUAAGGGCUUCUAGACAAGCACUCUACGAGGAGUUUUUGUUUGGCUUCAUAAUUUUACAGUGCUGUCUGCUACAGUGGGGGAAGGCAUGACAGAAACCUCCUCUAGCUGCAGCAGCAGCAAGGACAUGAAGCUGCUUGCUUAUAUUUGAGUGGAUCAGGAUGCAGAGAAGAGAGCAGCUGCCAUUCAGCUGGCUUUUCCUUUCCAUUCUUGCUUUUUUGUUUUCCUUGUGUUUGGGAACUCGGCCCACAGAAUAAUAUCACUCCCUAUCAGUUACUCUAUUUUGACAACCUCCUCAGACAAGCACAAAGAUGUGUCUCUGGUGAGUCUCAGUCCAGUCAAACUGAUGUGGAGAUUAACUGUAAGUGUUCCAAUUAGAAUUUCAAAUGGGGUUUACUGAUGCUCAGCGGUGGUUUCAUUGGAGGGUGUGAUACACUGUCUAUGUGUGUGUUUAUGUCACUGGUACCUUGGGCUUCUCGCCAUGUCCAGCCACUUCUGCAAUUCGAUUGGCUAUGGACCUAGUUCUGAACGUGAAGUACAGAUGAGUGAAGCUAUGGGAUUCACCUCACUGUGAUAACUUAGGUCUUGUUCGUCAUUCUAGCACAAGAUAGCCUCCCUGGCAGAUACAGACAGGCUGUGUGAGUUGUGAUGCAACCUUACUACAUUUUCUGCUUCUACCACAGAAUAUUAUAGACCAGACAAUUUUAAAAGAAAGAAAGUCUGUUUGGCUCACGAUCUCAGAGGCUAGCAAAUUCAAGGACAUGGCACUGGCACCUGCUGUGCCAUGCUGUAUUAUGGUAAAACGUGGAAAGGUGAGAGCAAGCUGGCAAGAGAGGGUGGAAGGUAUCCAAAGGUAUUGCUGUAACAAACUUCUGCUGUGAUAAUUAACUCCCUCCUGUGACAAGGACAUUAAUUUGUGAUGGCUACACCCUCAUGACCAGUCAUUUCCUGUUAAGCCCCAUGUCCUAACACUGUCACCCUAUGGAUCAAGCCUCCACCACAUAGUUUGGGGAACACACCCAAACCGUAGCAGCUAGCCAUUUGUCUUUAUUUCUGUUUAAUUUGUUUUGUUCUUAAAACCGCUUUCUAUUUUUAUUUUAAACUAAAAUAUAGCAAUUUUGUGUAAUUAUAAGGUGGUGCAGUACGAUGUUUUGAUAUAUAAACACAUGUUAAAUGAUUAAAUCAUUAAACUUAUUA